AGAGUUUGAUCAUGGCUCAGGAUGAACGCUAGCUACAGGCUUAACACAUGCAAGUCGAGGGGAAACGACAUCGAAAGCUUGCUUUUGAUGGGCGUCGACCGGCACACGGGUGAGUAACGCGUAUCCAACCUGCCCACCACUUGGGGAUAACCUUGCGAAGGUAAGACUAAUACCCAAUGACGUCUCUAGAAGACAUCUGAAAGAGAUUAAAGAUUUAUCGGUGAUGGAUGGGGAUGCGUCUGAUUAGCUUGUUGGCGGGGUAACGGCCCACCAAGGCGACGAUCAGUAGGGGUUCUGAGAGGAAGGUCCCCCACAUUGGAACUGAGACACGGUCCAAACUCCUAGGGAGGCA
rnacentral:rRNA from 1 species